UUAGUAAACUACAAUGAGACAAAUAAUGUAAUAUCUCGAGAUACAUGAUGAUGCAAAUUUGUGUAAUAUUGUGUUUAUGGAACAUAAUAAUGUUAUUAUGAUUUUUAUGGAACAUUUACACGGAAUGUAAGAUCGUUUGAUGAAUGAGUACAUGGAGAUCACAAGUCACGAAAUACUUCUUUGUAAACUACAUUUGUCGUGCAAGUAUAGCCCUCUCACUGAAAUAAUUCUGAUUGUUGAAGUUUUCGAGAAUUGAAGGAUACACAAAAUCAAUUAAAGUUGAAAUGGGAUCCGAUGUAUCAGUGAUUAGAAGGUCGCUUGGUAUUUCAAUUGACGCUUCUC
rnacentral:lncRNA from 1 species